AGGGAUAAACGAGUGAUCGCUUUGUGUAAAAGCAAAGAGGAAAGUCCGGACUCCUCUGGCAGCGCAAAGGGUAAUACCCUUCCACCGCAAGGUGAGGACCAGUGGAACAGAAAGAAUGUCCAGCGGAUCCUUUUGGAGCCGGCUGGAGUGAAAUCAGCUAAACUCUGCGUGGAGCGAGAUCAAAUAGGAAAGCCUAGGCCAGUAUUUGAGCUUUCGGGUCGAUCGCAAGAAGGUUUUGGCAACAAAACCUCCAGAUGAAUGGUCACUUCCCUUUUCCCGGCAGUCAGAAAAGGAAGACAGAAUCCGGCUUACAGUUUAUCCCCCAAA
rnacentral:RNase_P_RNA from 1 species